CCUACGGGCGGCUGCAGUCGAGGAUCUUCCGCAAUGGGCGAAAGCCUGACGGAGCGACGCCGCGUGGAGGACGAAGGCCUUAGGGUUGUAAACUCCUGUCGAGGGUUAUGAAGAGCGGCUUGCGAACAGCAAGUCGUGUGACGUAAGCCCUGGAGGAAGCACCGGCUAACUCUGUGCCAGCAGCCGCGGUAAUACAGAGGGUGCUAACGUUGUUCGGAAUUACUGGGCAUAAAGCGUACGUAGGCGGCGCGUCAAGUGCGGGGUGAAAGCCCACGGCUUACCCGUGGAACAGCUUUGCAUACUGACGUGCUAGAGUGCGGUAGAGGAGAGCGGAACUCUUGGUGGAGCGGUGAAAUGCGUAGAUAUCAAGAGGAACACCGAAGGCGAAGGCAGCUCUCUGGGCCGUUACUGACGCUGAGGUACGAAAGCCAGGGGAUCAAACGGGAUUAGAUACCCUGGUAGUC
rnacentral:rRNA from 1 species